UUUCCGUAGGUGAACCUGCGGAAGGAUCAUUAAAGUUAUAGUCCCCCGGCCCCUCCGGGCUGGGGUCUUCUAUACCACCCUUUGUUUGUUACACCUUUGUUGCUUUGGCAGGCCUGCCCUCGGGCUGCUGGCUCCGGCCGGCUCGUGCCUGCCAGAGGACCUAAACUCUGUUUGUAUAUGAAGUCUGAGUACUAUAUAAUAGUUAAAACUUUCAACAACGGAUCUCUUGGUUCUG
rnacentral:misc_RNA from 1 species